GCCAGGUGUGGUGGCGCACACCUGUAAUCCCAGCUACUCGGGAGGCUGAGGCAGGAGAAUUGUUUGAACCCAGGAGAUGGAGGUUGCACUGAGUCAAGAUCAUGCCCCUGCACUCCAGCCUGGGUAACAGAGCAAGACUCCGUCUCAG
rnacentral:SRP_RNA from 2 species